rnacentral:rRNA from 1 species
UACGAAGGGGGCUAGCGUUGCUCGGAAUUACUGGGCGUAAAGGGCGCGUAGGCGGGUCGUUUAGUUAGAGGUGAGAGCCCAGGGCUCAACCCUGGAAUUGCCUUUAAUACUGGCGACCUUGAGUAUGGCAGAGGUGUGUGGAACUCCGAGUGUAGAGGUGAAAUUCGUAGAUAUUCGGAAGAACACCAGUGGCGAAGGCGACACACUGGGCCAUUACUGACGCUGAGGCGCGAAAGCGUGGGGAGCAAACAGG